rnacentral:rRNA from 1 species
UGGGGAAUAUUGGACAAUGGGGGCAACCCUGAUCCAGCCAUGCCGCGUGAGUGAAGAAGGCCUUAGGGUUGUAAAGCUCUUUCAGUCGUGACGAUGAUGACGGUAGCGACAGAAGAAGCCCCGGCUAACUCCGUGCCAGCAGCCGCGGUAAUACGGAGGGGGCAAGCGUUGUUCGGAUUUACUGGGCGUAAAGGGCGCGUAGGCGGGGUAUCCAGUUAGGGGUGAAAGCCCGGGGCUCAACCUCGGAACUGCCUUUGAUACUGGUAGUCUUGAGUUCGAGAGAGGUGAGUGGAAUUCCGAGUGUAGAGGUGAAAUUCGUAGAUAUUCGGAGGAACACCAGUGGCGAAGGCGGCUCACUGGCUCGAUACUGACGCUGAGGUGCGAAAGUGUGGGGAGCAAACAGGAUUAGAUACCCCCGUAGUCC